rnacentral:rRNA from 1 species
GAAACCGUGUACGUACAAGCAGUGGGAGCACGCUUAGGCGUGUGACUGCGUACCUUUUGUAUAAUGGGUCAGCGACUUAUAUUCUGUAGCAAGGUUAACCGAAUAGGGGAGCCGAAGGGAAACCGAGUCUUAACUGGGCGUUAAGUUGCAGGGUAUAGACCCGAAACCCGGUGAUCUAGCCAUGGGCAGGUUGAAGGUUGGGUAACACUAACUGGAGGACCGAACCGACUAAUGUUGAAAAAUUAGCGGAUGACUUGUGGCUGGGGGUGAAAGGCCAAUCAAACCGGGAGAUAGCUGGUUCUCCCCGAAAGCUAUUUAGGUAGCGCCUCGUGAAUUCAUCUCCGGGGGUAGAGCACUGUUUCGGCAAGGGGGUCAUCCCGACUUACCAACCCGAUGCAAACUGCGAAUACCGGAGAAUGUUAUCACGGGAGACACACGGCGGGUGCUAACGUCCGUCGUGAAGAGGGAAACAACCCAGACCGCCAGCUAAGGUCCCAAAGUCAUGGUUAAGUGGGAAACGAUGUGGGAAGGCCCAGACAGCCAGGAUGUUGGCUUAGAAGCAGCCAUCAUUUAAAGAAAGCGUAAUAGCUCACUGGUCGAGUCGGCCUGCGCGGAAGAUGUAACGGGGCUAAACCAUGCACCGAAGCUGCGGCAGCGACGCUUAUGCGUUGUUGGGUAGGGGAGCGUUCUGUAAGCCUGCGAAGGUGUGCUGUGAGGCAUGCUGGAGGUAUCAGAAGUGCGAAUGCUGACAUAAGUAACGAUAAAGCGGGUGAAAAGCCCGCUCGCCGGAAGACCAAGGGUUCCUGUCCAACGUUAAUCGGGGCAGGGUGAGUCGACCCCUAAGGCGAGGCCGAAAGGCGUAGUCGAUGGGAAACAGGUUAAUAUUCCUGUACUUGGUGUUACUGCGAAGGGGGGACGGAGAAGGCUAUGUUGGCCGGGCGACGGUUGUCCCGGUUUAAGCGUGUAGGCUGGUUUUCCAGGCAAAUCCGGAAAAUCAAGGCUGAGGCGUGAUGACGAGGCACUACGGUGCUGAAGCAACAAAUGCCCUGCUUCCAGGAAAAGCCUCUAAGCAUCAGGUAACAUCAAAUCGUACCCCAAACCGACACAGGUGGUCAGGUAGAGAAUACCAAGGCGCUUGAGAGAACUCGGGUGAAGGAACUAGGCAAAAUGGUGCCGUAACU